GGAGUGCGAACGGGUGAGUAAUGCAUCGGAACGUGCCCAGUAGUGGGGGAUAGCCCGGCGAAAGCCGGAUUAAUACCGCAUACGACCUGAGGGUGAAAGGGGGGGAUCGCAAGACCUCUCGCUAUUGGAGCGGCCGAUGUCAGAUUAGCUAGUUGGUGGGGUAAAGGCCUACCAAGGCAACGAUCUGUAGUUGGUGUGACAGGACGACCAGCCACACUGGGACUGAGACACGGCCCAGACUCCUACGGGAGGCAGCAGUGGGGAAUUUUGGACAAUGGGCGCAAGCCUGAUCCAGCAAUGCCGCGUGCAGGAAGAAGGCCUUCGGGUUGUAAACUGCUUUUGUCAGGGAAGAAAUCUUCUGGGUUAAUACCUCGGGAGGAUGACGGUACGUAAGAAU
rnacentral:rRNA from 1 species